AAACAACUAACCAGAACCAGUGACCAUGAUGCAUCUACCAAAAAAAUAUGCUGCUGGGAUUUAUUUCAUGGAGAGAAAACGAUUACCACUGGUUGGAAUAGCUAUUCGAUUCCACUACUUGACCUAGGCCUAGGUGUCGAGAAACCAACAUGGAAUCAGAACGGAGCAGAAAAAUUUCACACGCUGUACUUGACUCCACUACUCCCUGCACAAAUGUCAAGCAGGCAUGAUGGCACUAGACCAGAACAUAGUAACGCAUAAAGCUGUACUUGGCUCCACUACUUAUGGAAAUGUAGAAAAAUACAAUUUUAAUGCCUCAAUCAAGAUGACUGGCAAUUUUAUCAUUGAGAUGACAUCUUGGCACUAGAGAGCACCCUACACAAUGAAGUGGUGGCUGCACAGCAUUCCAUUGCUUUAUUCUCUUCCAUGGUGUGUUCCCUUACUACUCCAAAGAAGAGAAUAAACAGCUAAUAAUGGUAAUGCUGUUGGUAUCGCCAGUUUUAGGAAAGAUUCUAAUUCCAGCAGCAAUUAAACUCAUCAACAACUUUUCUUUUCCUUAACAGAAAAAGAAACAGUUAAAUGAGGCUUACCUAAACAACCAACGCAGCAAAGACGAGCAUUUGAGGGUGAAGAGGCUUCCACGUGGGCACUGCCGCAUGUUUGUCUCCACUAGAUAACUCAAAAAUAAUAGUUAGAGAGCGGAAUAUCAGAAAGCCAG
rnacentral:lncRNA from 1 species